AACCUGGUUGAUCCUGCCAGUAGUCAUAUGCUUGUCUCAAAGAUUAAGCCAUGCACGUCUAAGUACAAGCCUCAUUAAGGUGAAACCGCGAAUGGCUCAUUAAAUCACACCUAAUAUACUGGAUAGUGUCAGUUACUUGGAUAACUGCGGUAAUUCUGGAGCUAAUACAUGCGUCAAAGCCCCGAACUUUUUGUGAGGGGCGCUUUUAUUAGAUGAAAACCAAACGACUUCGGUCGUCCCUUUGGUGAUUCUGAAUAACUUUCGGCUGAUCGUACGGCCAAGCGCCGACGACGUAUCUUUCUAAGGUGUGCCCUAUCAACUUUCGACUGUGGCAUAGACGCCCACAGUGGUUUUGACGGGUAACGGGGAAUCAGGGUUCGAUUCCGGAGAGGGAGCCUGAGAAACGGCUACCACAUCCAAGGAAGGCAGCAGGCGCGCAAAUUACCCACUCCCAGCACGGGGAGGUAGUGACGAAAAAUAACGAUGCAGGACUCAUCCGAGGCCCUGUGAUUGGAAUGAGUACACUUUAAAUCCUUUAACGAGGAUCCAUUGGAGGGCAAGUCUGGUG
rnacentral:rRNA from 1 species